rnacentral:sRNA from 1 species
GCCGGGUGCAGUGGUGCGCGCCUGUAAUCCCAGUGGCUUGGGAGGCUAAGGCAGGAGGAUCUCGAGUUCAAAACCAGCUUCAGCAAAAGCGAGGCACUAAGCAACUCAGAGAGACCCUGUCUCUA